GUGCGCGGGSGUAAAAUCCUGCGUGCCGUGGCGCGCCUGCUGGUGAGGGCUCCCGCCUGUUGUGGGCGGUGAGGACGGACGCAAAAGGGCGCGACUCGACCCGUCUUGAAACACGGACCAAGGAGUCCAGCAUGGCUGCGAGUCGAAGGGUGUGGUAAACCCGGGUGGCGCAGUGAAAGCGAAAGAUGGUAAAUUGCAAGUACAGUUGAACGAUUGCAAAUUGGGGAGGCGUGCCGGUGCCACCAGCACGUCCUACCUCGAGCACCCAUGCUGGGACCCGAAAGAUGGUGAACUAUGCUUGAGCAGGGCAAAGCCAGAGGAAACUCUGGUGGAGGCUCGUAGCGAUGCUGACGUGCAAAUCGCUCGUCAAACUUGGGUAUAGGGGCGAAAGACUAAUCGAACCAUCUAGUAGCUGGUUCCCUCCGAAGUUUCUCUCAGGAUAGCGGGCCGACAAGUGUGUGUGUGUUAUUGUUUUGUGUGGUAAAGCGAAUGAUUAGUGCAUUUGGGGGCCCAUGGCCUUCGGGCGAUUCUCAAACUUUAAAUGCGCAAGGGGGCGGCUGCCUGGUCUGAGCCAGCCCCUCUAAAAAUGUCGGCUCCGUGGGCCACUUUUGGUAAGCAGAACUGGCGAUAAGGGAUGAACCUUAAGCGCGGUUAAGGCGCCGCAUUGUCCGCUUAUAGACCCCACAAAAGGUGUUG
rnacentral:rRNA from 2 species